ACGCACCGCUCAAUCACGCUGAGCCUUAUCCCAUCCCCUUGCAUCGUCUUCCCACCACAGACAUCUCUUUCGUCUUGCACGGCAAUCCCCAAUCAUCUCCUUGCCGCACCUCGAUUCUUCCUUUCUACUCCUCCAUCCAAACGCAUCGCGCAUCCCACUGGCUCGGCAGCUCCACCGGUGCCAGAGGAGAAGUGCUCUCCUGCGCCGCGCGCUGCAUCUAGUAACCCAUCGGAGCCGGAGACGACGGCGACGAGCACCGGGUAGGAAGACGGCAAACACAAGGGCCAGAUGCACCCCUCUCCAUGGCCGUUCGCAGGCAGAGGUGUGCUCGUCGCCUUGUCCGCCGGCAACUGGAUGCCUCCAUGGCCGCCGCAUCCAUGGUUAGUUAGUCCCCAUGGCCAAGCUGGAAUCGACCACGGUGGCGACGAGUUUGUGCUGGAACCAGGAACUAGCAUUUGAAUUUGCUGCAUAGGCUAUGUUUAUGCUGGGACGGCGACGGACGGCGGCUACAUGUGUCUUUGCUGCAUUUGUCUUUUUGUUGGAAUUAGCAAUUAUUUUUGCUACAACAAGCCUCUGAAGAGCUGGAACCGGCAAGAUUGCUUUUGUUUGCAGUCAUCGGCAGCAGCGCAUUUUUUGCUGGAACGCCAUUUUUUGUUGUUGGAAUAGGUUUUGGUUUUCGCUGGAACCGGUCUUAUUUUCUGCUACAACGGGCUAAUUGUUUUGCUCCAACAGAUUACUGGAGUUUUUCUGUUUUGCUUUUCUUGCUGAUUUUACUUUGCUACAAUCGGCAUGGGAAAAGCUUCAACCGUGAAAAAAAAAGCUUCAACCAGAGAGGGUGAGAAAAAGCUUGGACUAGCGAGAAAAUAACUCUUCAACCAGGCGCACGCGAGCACGUGAUGCCGGCCGGCUGCAGCCAGCGGGGCAUGGUGAUGCUGCAUUGAGCGUGCUACGACGGAGCCGGCUAGUUGCUGCAACGACAGAGGCAUCUGACGUGCUACGAGACGGCCCUGUCCCUAUGUGGUGGCGGCUAGGUGCAACGACGACCUCUGCUAGAUCCGGCGAGAACCGGUGCAGCGAUGGCGGCGAGCCGGCGGGGCUUCGAAGUCAGCGGCAGGGGCGGCCAUGGCGGGCUGCGUGCGUGUGGCGGGGUGUGCUGGAGAUUUUUUUUGUAUUGUUUUCCGCAUGAUGUAUCAGAGGAGGGAAAAAAGAGGACCAGAUCUGACGGCACUGGGAACUUUAAUCGUACGGGUAUGCGUUGACCGGCUCAAUUUUGUGCCGGUGCGCCGGCGCCUAUUACUCGACUUUCUUUUAGGUAGUAGAGAAGAGAAAAACGGUGACACUUUUAUUGAUUAAUAUGGUAAUUCUUAGCUAAUCUACACCGUUA